rnacentral:tRNA from 1 species
AGUCCCGUGGUGUAGUGGCCAAUCAUCUAAGCCUUUGGAGCUUAGGACGGCGGUUCGAAUCCGCCCGGGACUA